GCAACAAUGUGGGCACUGGGAGAUCCCAUUUAAAUACAGGGCGCCAAACUGAACAUUAUAAUCAUGAUAAUAUAAUCGGUAAUAACUCCUAAUAUUGGUAAGCCGAAAACAUUUAAAUGAUCGUAAAUGUCCUGCCUCUAUCUUUACUUGAGCUUUUGAUGAAACUGUGAUCAAAUGGAACGUAAGGGCAGAGGACACGGGCAAUAGGGAGGACGGUGAGGCAGCGGGGGAGACGGAGAAUUACACCUUCGAUAUUAGUCAUAAUUCACCAUGUCUGCCUAUGGGGAAUGCAGUGUUUUACAACAUUUCAUUUAAAUACGAGAUGUCAUAGCGUUUUUUGGUCAUGAUUUUUUUUUUUUACUUGAGUAGAGCAUCUGCGGAUAUCGUAUAACGGUCUGCGCCUGACAACCGGAAUAAUCAGUAAAACUAGUUAGGGACAACUACUAUUCACAUUUUCUGAAAACCUUGUUUUAUAAUAAUGCAGUCAUCGUUUUAUAAGAGUUCACUAGAGAUUCAAUUUAUCUGUGCUCUGCAUUGACUUGUCUCAGAGAAGACACUGGAGAUUUUUUUUUGUAUGUCAUACAAAGUUACGUGAAUGAGAGAGUAUGGCUCUCAGUCAAAUUUUGGAUUUUUGCAAACGACAAAAGGUCCUGUUUGAUCAGCAGCAGCUUUCGCAGACUUUGGCUCGGGGAUUAAUACAAACACAUGGCAGUAAAAAGAUGUAACAGAUGUAAACUGUAAAACAUUCGAAAUUAACCCCUUUUCCUCCCCACCACAACCACCCACAAUCAACGCUGUAUGUUCUGUUUAAGUGCACUCCUCAAAACUUCAGUUCAUCAGCAAAGACAGGUUGGACGAUUCCGAAGGAACAUCAAAAAUAAUCAAAUGCAAAAUGGCAUAAUGAAGUGUUUAGUUUAAACUAAACAUUUCUGAGUGUAUGUGCGUUUAUGCGUGUGUGGAGCAACCGGCACCUUUCCACCUGCACAGAGGAGAGACCCUGAAACACACGCCACCUAUCUUCACGGGGAGGGAUAAUUGAGGAGCACCAAACGUGAGCAUCUUCUGCGAAACGUGAUCAAGUUUUUUUUUCCUCUUUCUUUUUCUGUUUAUGAUCCGGGAGAAAUAGUCUAAGUCGGAUUACCUUGCAAUCUAAGCAAGAAUAAUAUCUGAAGAAAGUUGGAACAGCCCCAUUCAGCUUUAACCCUCCACAAGCAUGUCAACAAAAAAGGAUCUUACGGAAAUCACGUUGUAGCAAUAGCUGACCCUCACAAACCAAGGAUCAACAAAACAGCGCCGAAAUAUCUAUUUACUUCCAAGACAGCUUUUGCGGUUGAGACUUUCUGACUCGUGUCUGUGAAUGCUGGUGUGUUUUUUCGAUAAUCUGCGCAUCUUAAUUUAUUAACAAGACGACAAUAAGUAAACUACCACAAAUAUAUUUGUAUGUGUUUAUUUGUCAUUCUGUCAAUAGGUCAUAAACGUGGUCGGGGUUCGCCUAUGUGUAAAUUAAGGUGGGGAACGUAGCCUAUGUCUAUUUUACUUAACUUUGGUCGAGCUUUUCUGCAUUUCAUUCAGCACCAACAGAAUGAAUAUGUAUAUUAUUUUAUCUUUCUUUGCUUGAAUGGUUAAACUCCUCUGGUAGCCUAAUUAAGCAAGGCGCCGGAACAGGUGUGAUUUAUUUAAUGAAAAUGCAUAUUCAUUAGUCA